GCCUGUAAGACUGGGAUAACUUCGGGAAACCGGAGCUAAUACCGGAUAAUAUAAGGAACCUCCUGGUUCUUUAUUGAAAGAUGGUUUCGGCUAUCACUUACAGAUGGGCCCGCGGCGCAUUAGCUAGUUGGUGAGGUAACGGCUCACCAAGGCGACGAUGCGUAGCCGACCUGAGAGGGUGAUCGGCCACACUGGGACUGAGACACGGCCCAGACUCCUACGGGAGGCAGCAGUGGUCAUA
rnacentral:rRNA from 1 species